rnacentral:rRNA from 1 species
AUGGGGAGUCGGACCUGCCCAGUGAAUAAUUUUUAAACGGCCGCGGUACUCUGACCGUGCAAAGGUAGCAUAAUCAUUUGCCCUAUAAUUGAGGGCUAGUAUGAAUGGUUUGACAAGAAUAAAGCUGUCUCCAUACAAUUUUAUAGAAUUUUAUUUUUAGGUGAAGAAGCCUAGAUAUUAUUAAAAGACAAGAAGACCCUAUCGAGCUUUAAAACAGUUGAUUAGUUAGUGUUAUAUAUUAAAUAAAACAAUAUUUAUCAAAUAUUUUGGUUGGGGCGACUAAGGAACAAAUAAAGCUUCUUUAACAUAAAUUAACAACAAACAAGUAAUGAUCCAAAAAAUUUUGAUCAAAGAAAUUAGUUACCGUAGGGAUAACAGCAUUAUCUUUUUUGAGAGCCCAUAUCGAAAAAAAGGUUUGUGACCUCGAUGUUGGACCAGAAUAUCCUGAAGAUGCAGAAGUCUUUAAGGGUUGGUCUGUUCGACCAUUAAAAUUCUA